rnacentral:tRNA from 1 species
GGGUGAUUAGCUCAGCUGGGAGAGCACCUCCCUUACAAGGAGGGGGUCGGCGGUUCGAUCCGCAGUUGACUU